rnacentral:rRNA from 1 species
ACUCCUACGGGAGGCAGCAGUAGGGAAUCUUCCACAAUGGGCGCAAGCCUGAUGGAGCAACACCGCGUGAGUGAAGAAGGGUUUCGGCUCGUAAAGCUCUGUUGUUAAAGAAGAACACGUAUGAGAGUAACUGUUCAUACGUUGACGGUAUUUAACCAGAAAGUCACGGCUAACUACGUGCCAGCAGCCGCGGUAAUACGUAGGUGGCAAGCGUUAUCCGGAUUUAUUGGGCGUAAAGAGAGUGCAGGCGGUUUUCUAAGUCUGAUGUGAAAGCCUGCGGCUUAACCGGAGAAGUGCAUCGGAAACUGGAUAACUUGAGUGCAGAAGAGGGUAGUGGAACUCCAUGUGUAGCGGUGGAAUGCGUAGAUAUAUGGAAGAACACCAGUGGCGAAGGCGGCUACCUGGUCUGCAACUGACGCUGAGACUCGAAAGCAUGGGUAGCGAACAGGAUUAGAUACCCUGGUAGGAUAGCG